rnacentral:rRNA from 1 species
UACGUAGGGGGCAAGCGUUGUCCGGAAUUAUUGGGCGUAAAGCGCGUGUAGGCGGUCCGGUAAGUCGGCUGUGAAAGUCCAGGGCUCAACCCUGGGAUGCCGGUCGAUACUGCCGGGCUAGAGUUCGGAAGAGGCGAGUGGAAUUCCCGGUGUAGCGGUGAAAUGCGCAGAUAUCGGGAGGAACACCAAUGGCGAAGGCAGCUCGCUGGGACGUUACUGACGCUGAGACGCGAAAGCGUGGGGAGCGAACAGG